rnacentral:lncRNA from 1 species
CUUCAUGACUCAUGCAGGUUUUGCCCUCCACUUUUAGCAGAGAUCCCUUGCUCUCUACCUGCAUGCAGGUGAGCUGUGACAUAAUAAACAGUCAGUAGUGCUUAAGUUGAUAUAAAAAUCUAUGGUAUAUAUGAGUGUCAAUGCAGGAUAGCCUGCUUUUUACAAUAAGAUAUGUGUUUUCUUGAGGAAAAAAGAAAAGAAAAAGGAGGGAUGUGAAUCAUGUCUCAAGUGGUGGCUUUCACAUCUCCUUAUCACAGAGCAGACUCAGAACUUCGGAAUUCAUCCAAUGCCUAUCUUUGAGCUAACAUAUUUCAUGGUUAUCUUUGUCAAUGCAUGAUAUAGUACCCCCUCCCCCACACACAAAAAAAACCUUUAUUGAUCAUGUACACUCAGCAACAAAAAUCAGAACAUUGGCAGUUGGUAACUGGUCCUUCCAACUUUGUGGCCUUCUACUUGGCCGAUAUUGUGAGCUUGACAUGGUUAGGCCUCAAAGUAUAAGC